GACGAACGCUGGCGGCGUGCUUAACACAUGCAAGUCGAACGAUGAAGCGGUGCUUGCACCGUGUAUUAGUGGCGAACGGGUGAGUAAUACGUGAGUGACCUACCUUUGACUCUGGGAUAAGCCUGGGAAACUGGGUCUAAUACCGGAUACGACCAAUCUCUGCCUGGGGUGUUGGUGGAAAGCUCUAUGGAGUGGUAUUAGAUAGGCUCACGGCCUAUCAGCUUGUUGGUGAGGUAAUGGCUUACCAAGGCGACGACGGGUAGCCGGCCUGAGAGGGUGACCGGCCACACUAGGACUGAGAGACGGCCCAGACUCCUACAGGAGACAACAGUGGGGAGUAUUACACAGUGGGCGCAAGCCUGAUGCAGCGACGCCGCGUGAGGGAUGACGGCCUUCGGGUUGUGAACCUCUGUUAGCAUCGACGAAGCGAAAGUGACGGUAGGUGCAGAGAAAGCGCCGGCUAACUACGUG
rnacentral:rRNA from 1 species